rnacentral:misc_RNA from 1 species
GAUGAAGAACGUAGCGAAAUGCGAUAAGUAAUGUGAAUUGCAGAAUUCAGUGAAUCAUCGAAUCUUUGAACGCACAUUGCGCCCGCCAGUAUUCUGGCGGGCAUGCCUGUUCGAGCGUCAUUUCAACCGUCAAGCCCCAGGCUUGUGUUGGGGACCUGCGGCUGCCGCAGGCCCUGAAAACCAGUGGCGGGCUCGCUGUCACACCGGGCGUAGUAGAUUUUAUCUCGCUCAGGGCGUGCUGCGGGUUCCGGCCGUUAAAAAGCCUUUUUUACCCAAGGUUGACCUCGGAUCAGGUAGGAAGACCCGCUGAACUUAAGCAUAUCAAUAAGCGGAGGA